AUUGAACGCUGGCGGCAUGCCUUACACAUGCAAGUCGAACGGUAACGGGCCUUCGGGUGCCGACGAGUGGCGAACGGGUGAGUAAUGCAUCGGAACGUACCUUUCAGUGGGGGAUAACGAAGCGAAAGUUACGCUAAUACCGCAUAUUCUGUGAGCAGGAAAGCAGGGGAUCGCAAGACCUUGCGCUGAUUGAGCGGCCGAUUUCAGAUUAGCUAGUUGGUGAGGUAAAGGCUCACAAAGGCGACGAUCUGUAGCGGGUCUGAGAGGAUGAUCCGCCAAACUGGAACUGAGACACGGUCCAGACUCCUACGGGAGUCAGCAGUGGGGAAUUGUGGACAAUGGGGGCAACCCUGAUCCAGCCAUGCCGCGUGAGUGAAGAAGGCCUUCGGGUUGUAAAGCUCUUUCGGCCGGGAAGAAAUCGUAUCAGCUAAUACCUGGUGCGGAUGACGGUACCGGCAUAAGAAGCACCGGCUAACUACGUGCCAGCAGCCGCCGUAAAAC
rnacentral:rRNA from 1 species